rnacentral:ribozyme from 1 species
GCCGCCGGGGCGGCGUCGAAGGGGGAAGAGGAGGACGAGGAGGAGGCGCACAACCCGUUCGAC